rnacentral:rRNA from 1 species
CCCGACUCCGUGAAGCUGGAUUCGCUAGUAAUCGCGCAUCAGCCAUGGCGCGGUGAAUACGUUCCCGGGCCUUGUACACACCGCCCGUCAAGCCAUGGGAGCCGGGGGUGCUUGAAGUGCGUCGCCGUGAGGCGCGCCCUAGAGCAAAACCGGUGACUGGGGCUAAGUCGUAACAAGGUAGCCGUACCGGAAGGUGCGGCUGGAACACCUCCUUUCUGGAG